CUUAGAAUUCUGCUUCCUUGUGGAGAGUAUCACAUAAGCUGGAAAAAGAUUAUAAAGUCAGUACCAUUGAUAAACAUUGGUCUCCUAGGAUUAUGAAAUAAGAAAAAAAAGCUCUCCUCAGGUCUGAAGGAAUUAAGAUUGGGCUUGGGUUGGAAGGGCAGAAUGAUUAUAUAUAUCACAAUCAUUGAUUUAACCCUAAUUUUUUUUUAAGCCUACCUAUAUUUCUAAAAAGUUUUUAGUUUGAAAAUACAUAUGCCUG
rnacentral:lncRNA from 1 species